CAAAGUUCAAUGAAAUAAAGAUGGUAGGGAUCUGGAAUCUCCCUUGAUGAUAUUGCAUCCAAGGAAUAAACUCUAUGGUUCUUGAUUAAAGAUUAAAUGCAGGAUAGAUCUAAUCAUGGUAUAUGUUUCAUGAACAUAUGAACUCAAUUUCUAAGCAUCCGUCGUGCUUUCUACGUCUACGACGAAUCAAAUACUAAAGCAAUCCAUAUAUCAAUAAUCAUAAUCCAUUAAAGAUCUAUCUAUGAAAUAACUACGCAUGAAUCAAGAACAUAUCAAUAAAUAUAAACCAUUGAAAGCAAAAGUUUAGAGUUUACUUCAAAGAGCAAUACAUCAAAGGUUCCUCCAUCACCCUCCCUAAGAAAUUAGCCACUCA
rnacentral:lncRNA from 1 species